rnacentral:rRNA from 1 species
UACAGAGGGGGCAAGCGUUGUUCGGAAUUGCUGGGCGUAAAGGGCGCGUAGGCGGCCUGCUAAGUCGAACGUGAAAUCCUCGGGCUCAACCCGGGAACUGCGUCCGAUACUGGAUGGCUUGAGUUUGGGAGAGGGAUGCGGAAUUCCAGGUGUAGCGGUGAAAUGCGUAGAUAUCUGGAGGAACACCGGUGGCGAAGGCGGCAUCCUGGACCAACACUGACACUGAGGAGCGAAAGCGUGGGGAGCAAACAGG